GACGAACGCUGGCGGCGCGCCUAACACAUGCAAGUCGAACGAGCGAGAGAGAGCUUGCUUUCUCGAGCGAGUGGCGAACGGGUGAGUAACGCGUGAGGAACCUGCCUCAAAGAGGGGGACAACAGUUGGAAACGACUGCUAAUACCGCAUAAGCCCACGGCUCGGCAUCGAGCAGAGGGAAAAGGAGCAAUCCGCUUUGAGAUGGCCUCGCGUCCGAUUAGCUAGUUGGUGAGGUAACGGCCCACCAAGGCAACGAUCGGUAGCCGGACUGAGAGGUUGAACGGCCACAUUGGGACUGAGACACGGCCCAGACUCCUACGGGAGGCAGCAGUGGGGAAUAUUGCACAAUGGGGGAAACCCUGAUGCAGCGACGCCGCGUGGAGGAAGAAGGUCUUCGGAUUGUAAACUCCUGUUGUUGGGGAAGAUAAUGACGGUACCCAACAAGGAAGUGACGGCUAACUACGUGCCAGCAGCCGCGGUAAAACGUAGGUCACAAGCGUUGUCCGGAAUUACUGGGUGUAAAGGGAGCGCAGGCGGGAAGACAAGUUGGAGGUGAAAUCUAUGGGCUCAACCCAUAAACUGCUUUCAAAACUGUUUUUCUUGAGUAGUGCAGAGGUAGGCGGAAUUCCCGGUGUAGCGGUGGAAUGCGUAGAUAUCGGGAGGAACACCAGUGGCGGAGGCGGCCUACUGGGCACCAACUGACGCUGAGGCUCGAAAGUGUGGGUAGCAAACAGGAUUAGAUACCCUGGUAGUCCACACCGUAAACGAUGAUUACUAGGUGUUGGAGGAUUGACCCCUUCAGUGCCGCAGUUAACACAAUAAGUAAUCCACCUGGGGAGUACGACCGCAAGGUUGAAACUCAAAGGAAUUGACGGGGGCCCGCACAAGCAGUGGAGUAUGUGGUUUAAUUCGACGCAACGCGAAGAACCUUACCAAGUCUUGACAUCCCUUGACAGGCAUAGAAAUAUGUUUUCUCUUCGGAGCAAGGAGACAGGUGGUGCAUGGUUGUCGUCAGCUCGUGUCGUGAGAUGUUGGGUUAAGUCCCGCAACGAGCGCAACCCUUAUGGUCAGUUACUACGCAAGAGGACUCUGGCCAGACUGCCGUUGACAAAACGGAGGAAGGUGGGGAUGACGUCAAAUCAUCAUGCCCUUUAUGACUUGGGCUACACACGUACUACAAUGGCGUUAAACAAAGAGAAGCAAGACCGCGAGGUGGAGCAAAACUCAGAAACAACGUCCCAGUUCGGACUGCAGGCUGCAACUCGCCUGCACGAAGUCGGAAUUGCUAGUAAUCGUGGAUCAGCAUGCCACGGUGAAUACGUUCCCGGGCCU
rnacentral:rRNA from 1 species